CUAUAGUGUUUAGUGAAUGAAUCCCUUAAUAAAUUCUUCUUCAGUAUUAUAUAUUGGCAGCGUAUGGAGAGUGCUGAACUAUAUCAUGUAGAAAUUAAAUAUUGCAGUAGAAAAUCAUGUUAAAGGGACAGUUUGGGAACCAUAACAACUACAUGUUCCACUUCUGUUGCCAAUAUCAGUGUUUUCCAUAUUUUAUUGAAUUUAUUUUUAACAAUUUAGCAGAUAUACUGCCAACAUUAAUUACUUUUUUUCAGCAUGCUUUUUUUUGACAAUACAUGGAAAAAUAGCUUUAAAAAGUUGCAGAUCUUUUUGGGCCGAGCCGGGGAAUAUAUUAUUCACAGGUUUCGUCCUUGAGAAUUCUCUGUGCUGGAGCCGUUAGGACGUGUCUGCACGUAAUCAUAGCUUUCUUUUGCUUCUUAAUGAUCUGUGGUAGCUCACCAAGGGCGCCUGCGUACGUUAGCUCUGUGGGGCUAAUGGAAGCAGAAAAAACCCUCCCAAGCUCUCGAAUUUACAACCAGGGAGGUGUUUCUCACCCUAAUAUAAAAGAUUUAUGUUGCUCUGUCCCUUUAAAGCAGGUAUCUAAAACUCUAGGCCCCCUGAUGCUGCUGAGCUACAACUCCUAAGCCAUCUAUGGCAUUCACAGAAUUCUGGGAAUAGUAGGCCAUCAACAUCUGAUUUUGAGAUUUCUCAAACUCAAAGCCAUUUAUCGUCUUAUUCAGUAGCAUAUGAAUAUCUUUAAAAUAUGGAUGAACUUGAUAUUUCUAAUGUGAAACUUCUAACUUGGCAAUAGCCACAAGUGCUUCUGGGAUGCCCAGGUUAGAAAAAACUGCUCAAAAAAAUGGUCUGGCCAACAACCAGGGUAAAGCAACCCCUAUAUUAUCAUACAUUAUUUAUAGUAUCUAGACUGCUCCUAUAAUUAGUGUAUAC